rfam:Salmo salar isolate Sally breed double haploid chromosome ssa14, whole genome shotgun sequence.
UGCAUGCAUGACUGUAAGUCGCUUUGGAUAGAGCGUCUGCUAAAUUACAUGUA